GCGACUUCUGACCGCGCCUCUGCUGCCGGAGAGCGCUGCUGCCACCGAAAACCGCCUUUGAAGCCUGUGUAUGUUGGAAACUGCCGCCGGAACCCCUGUCUUCUUGGUUUGGGUUCUGGUAUUUGCGCGUCGAAAUUAAGGUUGUUAUUGAACCACCGGAGCUUCGGGGAGUGCCGGAGCUGCCGCCUGAUCGGUUCAGAGGGUCACUGCUGCUUUAUGUGUCGGGUUGGCAGUUGAACCGACAA